CCUCUUUCAUUGAAUGUUAUAAUGGAAAGCAACAUCUUGUUCUCAAACGUCUGAAACCAUGAUCGCCUCAUCUCUCUGCUUAUUUCUGCUUCUUGCAGCUGUCUCUCGUGUCCACUGUGUUGAACUGACCCAGACAGAUUCUAUUGUCUUGAGGCCUGGUCAGGUGUUGACUCUGUCUUGUAAAAUCUCUGGAUAUUCAGUGACUGACAGCAGCUAUUGCACUGACUUUAUACGACAGGCUGCAGGAAAAGCUCUGGAAUGGGUUGGGGAGAUCUGUGGCAGCGGUAACACAUAUUACAGCGAUAAACUGAAAAGUAGAUUCACAGUUAGCAGAGACUCUUCCAGCAGCAGCGUGACUCUGAGUGGACAGAAUAUGCAGACUGAGGACACAGCUGUGUAUUACUGCGCCAGACAAACACAGUGACACGAAGCUGUUUUUUUCCUGUUCAAAAACCACCACUGACA